GUGUGACCACAGGGGAUCACUUCCCCUUGUUGUAUGAAAAGUGCAGUGUGUGCACUGUGUGUGUGUGAGUAAAGCUGAAGGUGGAGCUGCCACCGUUAUUGGGGAAUUUGAUUUUGAAUCUACUGCAGAUCUGUCCGCUGAAGUUAUUGGGAGUGAGUUUGAUGGUGGUUCAAGCUCAGUCCACCUGAUUCAAUGUUAAGCACCUUCGGGGUGCAUGCGCCUCUGGGGCGCCUGGCUCAAUCGAGGUUGAGCAUUUGGCUUGAUGUGGGUCAAGCAUCUGAAUUUGUAUAUGAAUCUGUUGCCGGGACUUUUGAGUUGUCGCGCGACUUGUCCGAAUCUGUUCUGAAGUUUACUCGAAGACUUCGAAAAUCUGGCUCUUCUGUUGGUUUGUUCCGGUAUUCUGAAUUUGUUAAGAGCAUCUGUUAUCUGCAGUCAGUCUGUUUGUUUGUUCUGUUUUGAGAGCACUGUUGUUUGCUUCUAUAGUUUGCUCUCUUGUCUCUCUUUGUUUGUUCGAGUUUGUAGAGAGUCUGUUUGUUCUGAUUUUGGAUUGUAUUUGGGGGCAGCAUCGGACCUUUGGAGAAUUGUCGUCAAGGUGGAGAUUGUUGAAAUCAGCACAUGGGCUGCUGAAGUGUGGCUCCAAUUCUCUCAUUGGUCAAAGAUUGGAUAAAGAUGGGCAGCCUUUCUUGACAAUGGAAAGAUCAGCUAUGUGUUGUUGAAGAUUGGCAAAGAUUUGGAAAAUCUUAGGCGUGGAUACUGGAGUCAAUGCCACAAGCGUAGCAUUUAAACCACGGUUUGGGUUUUGCCUAUAAAUUGGGAGCUUUGCUCCAUGGUUUUGUAUCUCUCUUGAGUGAGAGACCAGAGAGGAGAGUGAGGUAGUGUAGAGAGAGUAGAGCAGCGUGAGGGCUCCUCCUUCGGGAGGGAGCCGAGCUCAUCCUAGGAGGCUCUGUCAAAAAGAGAAUGAUAGAGCAUCUGAAAAUCAGAGAGAGUUUGAGAGCAGCAUAUGUAUGCAUUUGUAUCAGUCUAUGAGUGAGUGUGAGUUUGAGUGAUUUUGUAAUCCUCCUCUUCCUCUAUAAUAGAAAUUCGUCGGCCCUCUCCCGUGGACGUACCCGAUUUUGGGGAACCACGUAAAUCUUUGUCUCUGUGUUUGUAUAUGUGUUUGUGUUCUGGUUUGGUCCUUUGUUUCCGCAACAAUUGGUAUCAGAGCAUUUGGUUACCAAGAACACAAACUCUGUUUCGGCUCUGUUUUCCGUUUCUGUCCAGAAAAUUACAGUCACGGAAUUCUGAUCAAAAACUCAGUUUGAUCACUGAGUCUCGUGCGUCUCUCCGAGACGAUUCCAACGCACCAAGGCCCGUCGCGAACCGAGCACCACAGAAGCAGAACACUCCGUUCGACGGCGGCGUGUUCACCGCGAGUUCUGUCCAGAUAGAACCCAGUUCCGAAAAGUGAUCGGAAAUUUUUUUUGAUCAAAGACCCAAAUUCGGAUUGUUGAGACGAUCACAACGGUGGUCGGAACGUCGUCGGAGGUGGCCGGAGGAGCGAGCACGCGCCGGUCAAAGGUGGGGCGCGCGGACGCGCGUCAGAUCUACGCGGCGCGUGAGACGCACGCGCAGGAGUUGGGCUGGCACACGCCAGCACAUGUUGGGCACACGCUGGCACACGCCAGGCGUGUGUGGUCAACGCCACAUGGGCGGUCAACGCUGACUAGGCGAUGAGUCAGCGGCCCAGUAAGCAGCCACGUCAUCGACCACGUGGCGGUGCCACGUCAGCAAGAAGGGUCCCAUUUUGGUGACACGUCAGCGGUCAACUGUCCACGUCAGCCGGUCAACGAUGACGUGGCAGUCCAGUCAGCGGUACAGUGGCUGGUCAAUGGUCAAACUGCCAGUUUUGUUUUUUUGCGAUUUCGGGGCCAUUCGGACUCCGUUUUUCGCGUAUGAUUAGUCGAUUUUGACUAUCUCGACGUUCCGGACGCAACCGCGGGCUCCAUUUUCGGAUUGGGGGCUCCUAGGCCGGUGCGAGCGCUUAGCGGAGCAGACUUGCAGAGAUCGGAGGUUGAUCGAGGCAAACAUGCGCGGAGCUAGUGAGCAAGGAUACACUCGGGUUGGUAGUGACACAGGCGCUCACUAGUGCAUUGGUUUGCGGAGAUGAUUGACAGUGAUCGGAAGCAGUCUGGUUCAAUCGGAUUUUGUGCUCUGUGAUUGGGCACGGUGCGUUCGGGGUUCAGCCGCGGAAGAUCUGGUCUUGCAAGGAGACACUCGGUCAGUUGGUAGAUACACUUCCGGUGUGGGGGUGGUGAAACUUCUGAUGGCUAGCAGUGACACAGGCGCUUGACUAGAGGGGCAGAACGGGAUUGACGAACGCGGAUUACAGCAUCCAGGGGGUGAUGCGGGCGCUCAAGCAGCAGAGGAGCGCGGAUAGAAAUGGACUUUGCUGCGGACAUCUCGGGAUUGGGAUGUGGAGCAUUCGGACAACGCUGCGGAUUCAACGAUUACCCCACUCGGGUGUAGGGGGUGAUUGUUGGGGUACACCCUUAGUGGGUGGGUGUGACCACAGGGGAUCACUUCCCCUUGUUGUAUGAAAAGUGCAGUGUGUGCACUGUGUGUGUGUGAGUAAAGCUGAAGGUGGAGCUGCCACCGUUAUUGGGGAAUUUGAUUUUGAAUCUACUGCAGAUCUGUCCGCUGAAGUUAUUGGGAGUGAGUUUGAUGGUGGUUCAAGCUCAGUCCACCUGAUUCAAUGUUAAGCACCUUCGGGGUGCAUGCGCCUCUGGGGCGCCUGGCUCAAUCGAGGUUGAGCAUUUGGCUUGAUGUGGGUCAAGCAUCUGAAUUUGUAUAUGAAUCUGUUGCCGGGACUUUUGAGUUGUCGCGCGACUUGUCCGAAUCUGUUCUGAAGUUUACUCGAAGACUUCGAAAAUCUGGCUCUUCUGUUGGUUUGUUCCGGUAUUCUGAAUUUGUUAAGAGCAUCUGUUAUCUGCAGUCAGUCUGUUUGUUUGUUCUGUUUUGAGAGCACUGUUGUUUGCUUCUAUAGUUUGCUCUCUUGUCUCUCUUUGUUUGUUCGAGUUUGUAGAGAGUCUGUUUGUUCUGAUUUUGGAUUGUAUUUGGGGGCAGCAUCGGACCUUUGGAGAAUUGUCGUCAAGGUGGAGAUUGUUGAAAUCAGCACAUGGGCUGCUGAAGUGUGGCUCCAAUUCUCUCAUUGGUCAAAGAUUGGAUAAAGAUGGGCAGCCUUUCUUGACAAUGGAAAGAUCAGCUAUGUGUUGUUGAAGAUUGGCAAAGAUUUGGAAAAUCUUAGGCGUGGAUACUGGAGUCAAUGCCACAAGCGUAGCAUUUAAACCACGGUUUGGGUUUUGCCUAUAAAUUGGGAGCUUUGCUCCAUGGUUUUGUAUCUCUCUUGAGUGAGAGACCAGAGAGGAGAGUGAGGUAGUGUAGAGAGAGUAGAGCAGCGUGAGGGCUCCUCCUUCGGGAGGGAGCCGAGCUCAUCCUAGGAGGCUCUGUCAAAAAGAGAAUGAUAGAGCAUCUGAAAAUCAGAGAGAGUUUGAGAGCAGCAUAUGUAUGCAUUUGUAUCAGUCUAUGAGUGAGUGUGAGUUUGAGUGAUUUUGUAAUCCUCCUCUUCCUCUAUAAUAGAAAUUCGUCGGCCCUCUCCCGUGGACGUACCCGAUUUUGGGGAACCACGUAAA